rnacentral:rRNA from 1 species
UACGUAGGGUGCGAGCGUUGUCCGGAAUUAUUGGGCGUAAAGAGCGUGUAGGCGGCUUGUUAAGUCUUGCGUGAAAUCUCGGGGCUCAACCCCGAGCGGUCGUGAGAAACUGGCAGGCUAGAGUGCGGGAGAGGAGAGUGGAAUUCCUGGUGUAGCGGUGAAAUGCGCAGAUAUCAGGAAGAACACCCGUGGCGAAGGCGGCUCUCUGGAACGCAACUGACGCUGAGACGCGAAAGCGUGGGGAGCAAACAGG